AAAUCGGUUCUUUUCAGGACCACAAAUCAUAUUUAAAAAGGGAUAU
rfam:Stomoxys calcitrans breed 8C7A2A5H3J4 unplaced genomic scaffold Scaffold199, whole genome shotgun sequence.